rnacentral:rRNA from 1 species
GGUGAACGCUGGCGGCGUGCUUAAGACAUGCAAGCCGAACGCAGUCUUCGGACUGAGUGGCGCACGGGUGAGUAACACGUAACUGACCUACCCCCACGUCGCGAAUAACCAGCCGAAAGGAUGGCUAAUACGUGAUGUGAUGAUCCGCUGUGGCGGAGCAUUAAAGACUUGAUCGCUUGGGGAUGGGGUUGCGUUCAAUCAGAUAGUGGGUAAGGUAAGGGCUUACCAAGGCAACGACGGAUAGCCGGCCAGAGAGAGUGGCCGGCCACAGGGGCACUGAGACACGGGUCCCACUCCUACGGGAGGCAGCAGUUAGGAAUCUUCCACAAUGGGCGCAAGCCUGAUGGAGCGACGCCGCGUGAGGGAUGAAGGUUCUCGGAUCGUAAACCUCUGAACCAACGACGAAAGACCCGACAAGGGAGAUGACGGUAGUUGGGUAAUAGCACCGGCUAACUCCGUGCCAGCCGCCGCCGUAAAAC